rnacentral:rRNA from 1 species
UACAGAGGGUGCGAGCGUUGUCCGGAAUCACUGGGCGUAAAGGGCGCGUAGGCGGCCGCCUAAGUCAGACGUGAAAUCCCUCGGCUCAACCGGGGAACUGCGUCUGAUACUGGGUGGCUUGAAUUCGGGAGAGGGUAUGCGGGAAUUCCGAGGUGUAGCGGUGAAAUGCGUAGAUAAUCUGGAGGAACACCGGUGGCGAAGGCGG